UUGCUCUCUACAACUAACUGAAGGGAGGUCAUGGCUAGCUCCAUCCUUGUACCCUCCCUUCAGGUGUUAAUAAUAAGUUCCCUUCCUAUGCCUCCUCUCUUCCAGUCUGAAGAUAUUCAUCCAUCAGAGGAGAGGUUAUGAACAACAAAAAAAAGGACAUAUUGCACUGAUAGAUGCCAUAAAUAGACAACAUAAACAUAUGUGAGUAUUUUUCCUAGAGAGCAUCCUCACAAGAACAGAAUUCAUGCCAUCAGCUGUUCCUCUCUGGCUUCCUCAGUAUAUAAUCAAUUCCCAGCAGAGGAUCCUACAAAUUUGGAAAGGCAAAAGAGCCAGGCAUUCUAUGAAGUCCAUUAAGAACUUCAAUGUGAUCAAUAUAUUUUGUGUGGAGUAUAACACCAUGCAUGCUGGUACAAAACCCUAAGAUCUAUAUCGAAGCAAACUGAUAGUGCUUACUUAAUGUGUUUUUCUCCUCUAUACAUACUGCAUAGGAGGUUUACCUUCCUGUAAGGAAAGUAGUGCAGGUAAAAUGUAAAAACUUGACAAAUUUCCUCUGUAUGUCU